UACGAAGGGGACUAGCGUUGUUCGGAAUUACUGGGCGUAAAGCACACGUAGGCGGAUUUGUAAGUCAGGGGUGAAAUCCCGGGGCUCAACCUCGGAACUGCCUUUGAUACUGCAAAUCUCGAGUCCGAUAGAGGUGGGUGGAAUUCCUAGUGUAGAGGUGAAAUUCGUAGAUAUUAGGAAGAACACCGGUGGCGAAGGCGGCCCACUGGAUCGGUACUGACGCUGAGGUGCGAAAGCGUGGGGAGCAAACAGG
rnacentral:rRNA from 1 species